rnacentral:rRNA from 4 species
UACGUAGGUCCCGAGCGUUGUCCGGAUUUAUUGGGCGUAAAGCGAGCGCAGGCGGUUCUUUAAGUCUGAAGUUAAAGGCAGUGGCUUAACCAUUGUACGCUUUGGAAACUGGAGGACUUGAGUGCAGAAGGGGAGAGUGGAAUUCCAUGUGUAGCGGUGAAAUGCGUAGAUAUAUGGAGGAACACCGGUGGCGAAAGCGGCUCUCUGGUCUGUAACUGACGCUGAGGCUCGAAAGCGUGGGGAGCAAACAGG